rnacentral:misc_RNA from 1 species
UUUUUAUUUUUAUAUUUUAAAUCUUGAUUUUAUUUUAUGUUUUUUAAAUGUUUGUUAGUUUUUUUGAAUGUGUUAUUUAAAUAACAUAAAAAAUAAAAUAUAUAUUGACAUGGAUUAAACAAAGAUAUAUAUUAUUUUAUGUUGCGUAAACAAAUUGGCAAAAUAGAGAUGGAAGAUAAAAAU